UGAAAACUUUCAUCUGAACUGGAAAGAAAGAGGGCAAAAGCCUGAGUAAGAAGACGAAUGAAAGUGGAAGGAGUACCAACUGGCAGAUAUUGUUCCUCCAGUAGACUGAUUAUUGCUUGUAAAUGAAGAAUGAUGUUUACUGGGAUACAUUUUGGGAUAACUGCCGAGAUGAUGCUGAACGCAAACUGCAGGAGCAACACCUUAUAUUCUGGCCUGGGCGAUCUACAACUCAUUGGUCCUUCCUCACCUGUGUUACAAGUACAAGGUCAAAGGUUUUCUUCAGUCCAAGUGAGAUCACUGAGGUCAGCUAAAUAACAUGGCAAAGAUCUUACGAGGGGUGAUUGAUAAGUUUGUGGCUGAAUGUAGAAGGAGAUGAGUUAUUAACUUCAAACUUUCUGCAUUUUCACUCGAAGAGUUGAACUGCAUGUGCGUGUAACGAGACCUGUAUAACUUAUCUUCUGCCUUAGGCCACAAACUUAUCAAUCACCCUUGCUGUGGACAUUUUCUGGAGAUCCAAGAUCCGUAUGCUCCACGACCACUGGACUAAGUGUGUACAUGUAAGAGGGGACUAUGUUGAAAAAUAAAUGUGCUAGGUUUUCUAAAAUUUCCUCUUUCUACCUUA